UACGGAGGGGGUUAGCGUUGUUCGGAAUUACUGGGCGUAAAGCGCGCGUAGGCGGACCAGAAAGUUGGGGGUGAAAUCCCGUGGCUCAACCCCGAAACGGCCUCCAAAACUCCUGGUCUUGAGUUCGAGAGAGGUGAGUGGAAUUCCGAGUGUAGAGGUGAAAUUCGUAGAUAUUCGGAGGAACACCAGUGGCGAAGGCGGCUCACUGGCUCGAUACUGACGCUGAGGUGCGAAAGUGUGGGGAGCAAACAGG
rnacentral:rRNA from 1 species